CCUUUCUUUUUGGAAUCGGGAAAUUAGCUAUUAUUUACCCCAUGGAAAACGGAGCGACAGCGGGCCACUGGAGGUGCCCUGCUAGUAAGAUCCCGUUUGAACUGUAAACUGCCAUAAAAUAAAAACUAUAAUAGCUAGAGUGGUCUUUUUUUAGCUGAAAGCUGAGACUCUCGCCUUUCAGCACAUCUGUACUGUACAAGUCGAUGAUGUCAUCAUGUUGCGUUAAGUGUGCAGCACACUGUGGCUAUGUUAAAAACUCACACUGACCAAGAAGCAGCACGGGAGAGUUAAAGAAUUUAACCAGUUAAAAUGGAUUCAUGGAUAUUUAAUCAAUAGUCGUGGCUCCUCUUGUUAUUUAGUUUUUUGUCUGCCGGAGAAAUUUGCUGAAUAAGGAAAUAAAAACUUAAAAUGACAAAAAAAUUAGGGAAAAACACUUGUUUUGUAUAUUAUUAAUUAUUAAUGAUUAAUUGAUUGUUGGUAUUUUAACUUUUGGUAAAGGAAAACACUCAAUUUCCAGGCAGCCCCAGUCUGGAGAAGUGAUGGCGACAUCAGCCGUUAAAAAUAAAUAAUACUCUGAGGUUUUUAUGAAUACUUUGUACUUUUACUUGAGUAUUUCUCUAACACCAGUACUUUUACUUGUAAAUGAGUAAUAUUUUAGCAAUGUAACAGUACUUGUACUUGAGUACAGAUUUUCAGAAUUCUUUCCACCACUGCUGAAUUGUAUUGUUUGUUUUAUGCAACAUCAGGAGCCCUACACAGAUAUUUUGGGAUAACACCAGCUGCCACUGAGGAACAGCCAUCUACCUCCACUGCUCAUACCAGUAGGCCAGUAUUUGAACUCGAGGAGGGACAGUUUGCUGGCACCACAUCUCCCCAGGAAGAUACUUUAGAGAGACCUACCAGUAUAUGUGAACUUGAUGAGGGACAGCCAGCUGCCACAUCUCCCCAACAAGAUACGUCAGAGAAGCCUGAACGAUCAACCAAUGAGUCCCAUUGAAGGUGAUGAUGAGCCUCUUUCUUCAGACCCAGCCAAGUGGUCAUCACCAAUUACCGACAGCAUACGCACAGAGCUAGUUCGAAGAGGACCUACCAAGGUGCCAACUACUUUCAUAUUUCCCAGGAAUGAAGGCGAUGGCAGGUGUUGUCAUCAUCACUAUUUCAGUAGAACUUUGACAAGUGGUGAGAAGGUGGCCAGGAGCUGGAUGUUGUAUUCAGUUAGCAAACGUUGUUAUAUAUAAUACACUCCACGCAAUUUGAAACAAAGUUGUAGGUGUAUUUUUUUUCUUGUGUGUG